GCCUGCAUGGCUCAGUGGUUGAGCCUCUAUCUAUGAACUAGGAGGUCAUGGUUGGAUUCCUGGUCAGGGCA
rnacentral:tRNA from 1 species